CAAUUGUGGACCACAUAAUUAACCAUGGCCUUACAAUGGACACCGAGUGCAGCCUAUGUAAACUGUGCUACAGUGUCGUCCAUUAUCAAAACAUUCUGCAGGGAAAACAGGUUUGCAUGCACUUCAGAGGCAUUUAUAUCUGUAGUGGGAUCCUCAUCAGUGACAACGUGAGUGCUUACUGCAGCCCACUGCAUAAUGAGUCAGACUCUCAGCAACUGGACAUUUUACAUGGGCAGGCAGGUUCAAG